UACAGAGGUCUCAAGCGUUGUUCGGAUUCAUUGGGCGUAAAGGGUGUGUAGGCGGCGAGGUAAGUCGGAUGUGAAAUCCCGGGGCUCAACCCCGGAACUGCAUUCGAUACUGGAUGGCUUGAGACCGGAAGAGGUAAGUGGAACUGCGAGUGUAGAGGUGAAAUUCGUAGAUAUUCGCAAGAACACCAGUGGCGAAGGCGGCUUACUGGUCCGGAUCUGACGCUGAGGCGCGAAAGCGUGGGGAGCAAACAGG
rnacentral:rRNA from 1 species